UGACACACGAUAAAAAGGAAAGUAGAACUUACACUGCUUUUACAGAGAGUCUUUGUAAGCUGAGAGAAGAUAUUGAAAGAAAGUUUGAAAAUGGCCUUGGAGUGUUGGUGCCGAUAUGAGGUAUCACCGGGUUCGCCCGUUAUAGCGAUACAGUAUUAACAUGUUGAUAAUGGCGUACUGGAAUUUUCCUAUCUUUUUUCUGUACCCAUUAAUUCAAUCAUGGCGUACUGGAAGAGGCUACUUUAGUGAUAAAGUAGCAAAUUAAGGUGGUACCACGAACGAAGCUUUCGUCCUUUAU
rnacentral:ncRNA from 1 species